GAGGAAUUGGCGGGGGAGCACCGCAACGGGAGGAGCGUGCGGUUUAAUUGGAUUCAACACCGGAAAACUCACCAAGGGCGACUAUUACAUGAAAGCCAGGCUAAUGACCUUGCUUGAUUUUUAGAGAGGUGGUGCAUGGCCGUCGUCAGUUCGUACCGUAAGGCGUUCUCUUAAGUGAGAUAACGAACGAGACCCUCAUCUAUAAUUGCUACUCCAUUCUCCGGAAUGGAGGCACAUUAUCGAGACCGCUGGCGCUAAGUCAGAGGAAGGAGAGGUCAACGGUAGGUCAGUAUGCCCCGAAUCUCUUGGGCUACACGCGCGCUACAAAGGGCGGGACAAUGGGCUACGACGCCGAAAGGCGAAGUCAAUCUCGAAACCCGUCCGUAGUUCGGAUUGAGGCUUGUAACUCAGCCUCAUGAAGCUGGAUUCCGUAGUAAUCGCGAAUCAAAAACUCGCGGUGAAUAUGCCCCUGCUCCUUGCACACACCGC
rnacentral:rRNA from 1 species